GAUGAACGAGGGCGGAGGGACGAAUAAAGGCAAGUCGAGCGAACAGAUAAGGAGCUUGCUCCUUUGACGUUAGCGGCGGACGGGUGAGUAACACGUGGGUAACCUACCUAUAAGACUGGAAUAACUCCGGGAAACCGGGGCUAAUGCCGGAUAACAUGUUGAACCGCAUGGUUCUACAGUGAAAGGCGGCUUUGCUGUCACUUAUAGAUGGACCCGCGCCGUAUUAGCUAGUUGGUGAGGUAACGGCUCACCAAGGCAACGAUACGUAGCCGACCUGAGAGGGUGAACAGCCACACUGGAACUGAGACACGGUCCAGACUCCUACGGGAGGCAGCAGUAGGGAAUCUUCCGCAAUGGGCGAAAGCCUGACGGAGCAACGCCGCGUGAGUGAUGAAGGUCUUCGGAUCGUAAAACUCUGUGAUUAGGGAAGAACAAAUGCGUAAGUAACUGUGCGCGUCUUGACGGUACCUAAUCAGAAAGCCACGGCUAACUACGUG
rnacentral:rRNA from 1 species